rnacentral:misc_RNA from 1 species
AAGUCGUAACAAGGUUUCCGUAGGUGAACCUGCGGAAGGAUCAUUAAUGUGUAACUCUGGCUGUGCGCUCUCGGGCUGCACGCCGGUAACACUCAUCCACACCCGUGCACUUUCACGGUGUGAGGGCUUCACCGCUCUCCACCGCUUCACCACACACGUCGAAUGUCACGCAUGUCUUUGUUAUACAUCUAUACAACUUUCAGCAACGGAUCUCUUGGCUCUC